GACCGAUAGCGAACCAGUACCGUGAGGGAAAGGUGAAAAGCACCCCGAGAGGGGAGUGAAACAGUACCUGAAACCGUGCGCCCACAAGCAGUCGGAGCAGCCUUUGCGCUGUGACGGCGUGCCUUUUGUAGAAUGAGCCAGCGAGUUGCGGUGUGCGGCGAGGUUAAGUUUGGAAACGAGCCGCAGCGAAAGCGAGCCUUUAAGAUGGCGAGUGAGUCGCACGCUGCAGACGCGAAGCCGGGUGAGCUAUCCUGGGGCAGGCUGAAGCGGGGGUAAGACCCCGUGGAGGGCCGAACCCACUUCGGUUGAAAACGGAGGGGAUGACCCCAGGAUAGGGGUGAAAGGCCAAUCAAACCCGGAGAUAUCUCGUUCUCCCCGAAAUAGCUUUAGGGCUAGCCUCGGCCGUUAACCCGCGGUGGUAGAGCCACCGGAUCGACGAGGGGGCUUCACCGCCUACCGACUCGAACCGAACUCCGAAUGCCGCGGGUCGAGAGGCCGGGAGUCAGAGGGCGUGGGCUAAGCUGCGCGCUCGAGAGGGAAACAGCCCAGACCGCCCGCUAAGGUCCCCAAGUCAUCGCUGAGUGGCAAAGGAUGUGCGUCUGCCCAGACAACCAGGAUGUUGGCUUAGAAGCAGCCAUGCAUUUAAAGAGUGCGUAACAGCUCACUGGUCGAGUGGACAUGCGCCGACAAUUCACGGGGCUAAGCGAUGCACCGAAGCGGCGGACUGAGAAUUCAGUGGUAGGGGAGCUCUCCGCGGGGGGCGAAGCAGCAGGGCGACCUGCUGUGGACCGCGCGGAGGUGAGAAUGCUGGCAUGAGUAACGAGACCAGGGCGAGAAACCCUGGCGCCGUGAGCCUAAGGGUUCCUGGGCGAGGCUAAUCCCCCCAGGGUCAGUCGGGAGCUAAGGCGAGGCCGAGAGGCGUAGCCGAUGCGCAGCGGGCAGACAUUCCCGCACCGCCGACGGCGCGGCAUUACCGAUGGGGCGACGGAGAAGGGUAGCCGGGCGGGGUUCUGGACGUCCCCGUGAAAGCGCGUAGGGCGCGCAGCGUGGAAAUCAGCUGCGCACGGGGCCUGAGACGCGAGACGAAGCGAGCGAGCGAAGCCGGUGAGCCCAUGCUUCCGAGAAAAACCUCUAGGGAGUGCCGUCGGCGCCCGUACCAAAACCGACACAGGUGGGCGGGUAGAACAUACCGAGGCGAUCGGGAGAACCACGGUUAAGGAACUCGGCAUACUGGCCCCGUAACUUCGGGAGAAGGGGCGCCGCCGGCUGUGAACGCCCUCGCGGCGGGAGCGGCUGGCGGCCGCAGCGAAACGGCCCAAGCGACUGUUUAUCAAAAACACAGGACUCUGCAAAGCGGUAACGCGACGUAUAGGGUCUGACGCCUGCCCGGUGCCGGAAGGUUACGCGGAUGCGUCAGCCGAAAGGCGAAGCGCUGAAGCCAAGCCCCGGUAAACGGCGGCCGUAACUAUAACGGUCCUAAGGUAGCGAAAUUCCUUGUCGGGUAAGUUCCGACCUGCACGAAUGGCGUAACGAUUUGGGCGCUGUCUCAACCGUGGACCCGGUGAAAUUGUACUGUUCGUGAAGAUGCGAACUACCCGCGGAAGGACGGAAAGACCCCGUGAACCUUUACUGCAGCUUGGCAUUGGCAUCUGGUACGGCGCGUAGAGGAUAGGCGGGAGCCUUUGAAGCGGGGGCGCAAGCCCCCGUGGAGGCGACCUUGGAAUACCGCCCUCGUCGUGCCGGCUGCCUAACGCGCGGCCGUGAUCCGGCGCGCGGACCGUGCCAGGCGGGUAGUUUGACUGGGGCGGUCGCCUCCCAAAACGUAACGGAGGCGCGCGAAAGGUCCGCUCAGGACGGUCGGCAACCGUCCCGAGAGCGCAAGAGUGCAAGCGGGCUUGACUGCGAGAGAGACACCUCGAGCAGGGACGAAAGUCGGUUCUAGUGAUCCGGCGGCACAGAGUGGAAUGGCCGUCGCUCAACGGAUAAAAGGUACUCCGGGGAUAACAGGC
rnacentral:rRNA from 1 species